rnacentral:rRNA from 1 species
AGCGAACGCUGGCGGCAGGCCUAACACAUGCAAGUCGAACGGAUCCUUCGGGAUUAGUGGCGGACGGGUGAGUAACACGUGGGAACGUGCCCUUUGGUUCGGAACAACUCAGGGAAACUUGAGCUAAUACCGGAUGUGCCCUUCGGGGGAAAGAUUUAUCGCCAUUGGAGCGGCCCGCGUCUGAUUAGCUAGUUGGUGAGGUAACGACCCACCAAGGCGACGAUCAGUAGCUGGUCUGAGAGGAUGAUCAGCCACACUGGGACUGAGACACGGCCCAGACUCCUACGGGAGGCAGCAGUGGGGAAUCUUGCGCAAUGGGCGAAAGCCUGACGCAGCCAUGCCGCGUGAAUGAUGAAGGUCUUAGGAUUGUAAAAUUCUUUCAGCGGGGACGAUAAUGACGGUACCCGCAGAAGAAGCUCCGGCUAACUUCGUG